rnacentral:lncRNA from 1 species
GCCGGGGCUGCGCACAGCACCAUUUACAGCUGAACAUGCCAGCUAGUCUGCCAGGUUCCCACAGUCACAGGAAAGCCAUCUUAAGGGUCCAUCUGUGCCCCAUACCAGAAAAUAAGGAACUUGGGACUCACACGAAUAUGCUGCACCCAUCCAGAGCAGGGAGGGCCACUGUACAUCAAAGAAUAGCCUUGCUGAUGCUGUUAUAAGAACAAGCCCAGCCCAGUCCUUUCAUACCCCCACAUUAAGACCUCUUCCCGAGGCCAGACACAGACAUGGCCACCCUUCUAUAGCAGCUUCUCUUCAGACAGCCAGAGCACUCUAUGCCCUUGCAUCUGUGUGAGCCAUAGCUGGGGCAGGGCUCCUGGGACUGCAGUCUGCUUCAGACCCUCUCCUAUUGGGUGAUUUACUGCUUCCUGCCAUCUCCAGGUGCUCUCGCCCCACUCCUACCCACUAAGCAGCUUGUCACCAGUUCCACACUGAUGACCCUAGCAACCCUGGCCCUGUUCCAGGUGGCACACAUCACGAUGCCUCUAGCAAGGUGAGCCUUCCGCAGUCCUGCAGCUUUCCAUGCGUCCUGAGGAGCUGCCAGCCUAUCUUUCUUCCCCUGAGUCCAGCAGGCAGUCUGGCUGGGGGACCCUGGGAGGAGAUCCUGGGACGGGACCACAGGCCACAAAAGCUCGCUCUGCAGCCUUUAGCUGGGUGCCUGCUCUCUCUGGAAGCUCUGAGGAUUGCCUACUGAAGCCAGAACUUGAGCAAUGAAGACCCUGAAGAAUGAUCGAGAACCACAGACUGCUCACCAGGAGAAGACAUAAAGCAGGAAACAGUGGCGUUCGGGCUGCAGGAUGCGUACAAACACGUCCAUGGAGAUCUUGACCAUGUCCUUUCGACAUGUACACUGUGGAAACACGCAGAGGCACUGAGUCUCACACCAGGCACCUGCCUCCCACGCUGCGGACACAGCCCAGUAUGAGAUGAGACUGCUAGUUCAGGCCCCUCUCUGGCCUCACCACAGGGUGAUCAACACAGCAAGUGACGGCAGAGCUGGUGCUAUCCACGGCGUACAGAACAGCUGCAGCUGGGAGAGUGCACAGCACAGAACUGCAUCCAGCUUAAACAUGGCACAGGCGUUAGCAGUGCAGAACCAAAUCCCCGGUUGGUUACCAGGAGCCUGCCUGAUUGCCUCGAGAGGCCCUGGUCAGAGGUCACAGGGGUGUGGCAUUGUCCACAAAGGUUGCAAUUACCACCCCUCCUGUGUGCUGGGGUCUCGAGCAGGGAAGCAGGGAUGGGGCCAGGAAUACUUCCUGCGUGCAAGACCCCAAAGCCACCUGCAGGUCCCCAGUCCUCUAAAAGCUGAUGUCUUGUUGCCUCGUGCCAACUCUGGGGGAGGGGCUUCCACACUCACACUGAAACACAGGACACAGCAGUGCCGUCGGGAAUGCAGGGAAGGCUGCUCUCCUCUGCUGGGUCAUGAAAGAGAGGGACAUUUGCCCGUAGAGCCUGAGAACCUCACUUCUGCUUCCUGUCCCUCUCCGUCAUCACCAGGAAGUAGCCAGAAAGAAGUGACACUAUACCUGCCGCUGCCAACCCUACUACUCUCAGCUCCACUCUGAGAAGCCUCUGUAACUACCCAGGAGAAAGUGGGCACAGGCAUGCAGAGCUGUGCUGCUCUCCUGACCACCCAACAGGGUGGCCCAUCAAGUAGCCUAGCAUAGUGCCCAAGGGGCUUGUAGCUGCCCCUUGGCUAGCAGUCCGGUCUUUCUUGCCCAGCAGAACUCACAGGCAAAGAAGAGUUAGAAUCUGCAGUGUGCACAUUAAGCACAGACUGGCCCAGAGGAAUGAGCUGCCACGUGCUUCCCAACCUGGAGCCAAGCUUGGACAGCCCACCUGGACCAGCUUGCAAUUCUGCAUACAGAGGUUAGGGAGUCCAUGGCGCCCACCUCCCUACACAGGCUACCUUGUCUUACUUUGUGAACAGAUGGCAUCCUGCAGCCAUCACUCUGCGUCCUGCUGCAGCCAUGGAGUCACUCUGCAGCCUAAGAUCCUGAUGGAGACCAAUUGUCCAUCUCAGAUCCUUCUACGUCACUGACUAUCAGGAGCCUAGCCAGGUCAAUGAGAUCCUCAGAGACACGAAGGUGACAUGUCGUUCAAGGCUACCCAAGUCACAGAAGUGCUUGUCUAAUGAAGUUGAAACACUGGAGUGUGGCUGGCAAACACGGGACAAAGGCCCCAUACUUCCCUUGUGGUGCUGGACCAGGGCUCUGUGCCUAGCUAAACCUUGCCCCAAUGCCCCUGGGCCCAGGGUCAUCCCCAUUAACAGACUGUGCCUGUAUACCAUGCAUUUCUAGAGAUUGAAGACUGCUGGGAGGUGUCUCAUUUGUAGUAGGGUGCAUACAUGCUUAUUCCAGCUCUGCUGAGAGUUGCAAGCCCUUGACUUCCUGGCUCCUUUAGGGCUGUGUCAGGCACAAAGGUUCUGCCUCAAUUGCGACCCUGUCCCUGGGGCUCCCACACUUUGAAUCUGUUCCCUCUGCCUCACUCAGAGUCAGGCUGGGUGCACAGCAGUGAGGCCACCUGGGUUCCCAGGAUCUUCUGUGAGCUCUGAGCUCUGGUUGGAGGCUGUGUUCUUUUGACAGGCUUGGUUACACCAGAACCCGCUCAUGCGAAACAGUGAGCUGGGGGAGGCAAUAGCUGGAGAGGAGAUGAUUAAAACACAGCUCAAUAAAAC